rnacentral:tRNA from 1 species
GAAAUAUUUAAAAUAAAGCUUCUAACUUUAUAUAAAGGUUUAAAUAAAUCUAUAUUUCU